rnacentral:lncRNA from 1 species
UGGGUUUAUAUGAACAUCAAGGUUAUGUAAUGUAUGUAAUAUAGGCUGUUUUCUGUAUGACAGUCCGUAUUUGCAUGUCCAUACCAUACAUUGGUCCGGCAAUUAUUGUAAUGUUUUUUUCCAACUUUUUAUCGCACGAACUUUGUGAUUGGAUUUUACGAAAAAAAUGAGGCGAAAGACACCCAUUUUUUAUUUGAUCAUUAGGAAGAUUUAAGAAAACAGUUUCUAAAAAGGUAUCACUCAAAGGCAUUGAAAUUCUAGUUUGAUCCAAAUUUUGGGGGGAUAUAUGACAUGUUCACCCCCCUUUUUGCAAUAUUUUAUGGUAAAUAAAUGCUGAAUGUUGCCAUGGAUACACAUAAAAGGAAUUAAUUUUCACCCUUUUAACUUUGGAAAAUUGAAUCUAUGGAAGAUACUGAUUACAUACAUAUGCACAUGUACAACACAAACAGUUAGGUUAAUGUAUUAGAAAUCCAGGAAUAGGAGAUGAUAAAACAUUUUGGGGCUCAUUUUAAAUUUUAUUUUCUAACUGUGGAGUGCUACCU